CAUGCGCAAUUAAUUUGAUAAGCACCAAUUCGACCACUCAUGUCACGCAUAUAAAACCAUGUUGCCCUUCUAUGCUCUUGCAGUAGUGGUGGAAAUCUUUUGGCAAAAUGGCAAAAAUUAUCCUCGCUGUGUCUCUCUUUGUCGCUGGUUGCUGGGCCCACGGUCGAAUUGAAGACCCUCCACACCGCGGUUAUUUAUGGCGACUGCCCGAGUAUCAAUGGGCCAAUCCAGGACACAUCCCUGACGAUACGGAACUCCAUUGUGGUGGCGAAGGGAUCUCAUACCCCAACAUAAAUGCGUGCGGCUUUUGAGGCGACCCAAUCACCCAACAGCGGCCCAGACUGCACGAAAUUGGUGGACAACACGAGCGCGGCCUCAUCGUGCGAAACUACACGGUUGGAGAGCUAAUCAAUGUUAAAAUCCACUGGCAGGCUAACCAUGGGGGGUGGCAUACGUUUAGAAUGUGUGACUACAGUCGUACCGGGUACGAGAGCGAGACUUGUUUCCGUGACAACCAGCUCCGCUUCGGAGACGGUUCCGAACGAGUUUACGAUAUUGACUAUCAAGGCGUCACCAACAUUCCGGUCCAACUCCCACAGGGUCUCAGUUGUGAUCGCUGCGUCUUGCAGUGGGAAUGGACUGCUAAUAAUGGACAGUUCUACAGAAAUUGUAUGGACAUUUCUAUCCAUUAAGGUGGCAAAUGAAGUGUUUAAUCUGAAUCAUAUUAAAAUAAGUCUGUAAUUAUUUGCUGAAAUAAAACCAUUUCUGACAUCUUGCUUA